rnacentral:rRNA from 1 species
GACGAACGCUGGCGGCGUGCUUAACACAUGCAAGUCGAACGGAAAGGCCCUGCUUUUGUGGGGUGCUCGAGUGGCGAACGGGUGAGUAACACGUGAGUAACCUGCCCUUGACUUUGGGAUAACUUCAGGAAAAUGGGGCUAAUACCGGAUAGGAGCUCCUGCAGCAUGGUGGGGGUUGGAAAGUUUCGGCGGUUGGGGAUGGACUCGCGGCUUAUCAGCUUGUUGGUGGGGUAGUGGCUUACCAAGGCUUUGACGGGUAGCCGGCCUGAGAGGGUGACCGGCCACAUUGGGACUGAGAUACGGCCCAGACUCCUACGGGAGGCAGCAGUGGGGAAUAUUGCGCAAUGGGCGGAAGCCUGAUGCAGCAACGCCGCGUGCGUGAUGACGGCCUUCGGGGUGUAAACCGCUUUCGCCGGUGACGAAGCGUGAGUGACGGUAAUGGGUAAAGAAGCACCGGCUAACUACGUG